AUAACCCUGGGGUGACAUCUAGUAAUUUGCACCCUGAGCCGAUAUCUAUAGACUGUGACUGCUUAUAUGCUGUGGUGUGCAGGCCCGGAUUGCCCGCGGAAGCCUAAACUUCAUACUGUGGUCAAACUUGAACGCUUUGGUUCAAGGAGUCAUGAAUUACGGAUUCAUUUCUGGGGCUUAG
rnacentral:other from 1 species